CCAGAAGCCGCGUCGGCGGAAACGCCGGCGCCUUCGCCCAACCCUUUGUGAACCGAUGUGAUUGCCCCGGGGGACCCCGCGCCAGCGGGCCCCCGGCGGCCCACCUCAACUCUUGUUGUCCCUGCCGUCCGAGUCGCAAGCAAAUGAAACA
rnacentral:misc_RNA from 1 species